UGUCUCUGUAGAGAAACAAAAGGUGCAUCCUUCACAUAAAAGACUGAACUGGUUAGGGCUUUAGGCUUUAUCUUUAAAGGAUCACCAGGUCUUAUCUCCACACUGGAUUUUUAUCCUAUUAUGUUCCUCGGUUGGAAGUUUUACUUUUUAUUUAUUGUAUUUUGAGACGGAGUCUCACUCUGUCACCCAGAAUGGAGUGCAGUGGUGCAAUCUCGGCUCACUACAACCUCUGCCUCCCAGGUUCAAAGGAUUCUCCUGCCUUAGCCUCCGGAGUAGCUGGGAUUACAGCUGUGCACCACCACAUCUGGCUAAUUUUUGUAUUUUUAGUAGAGACAGGGUUUCACCAUGUUGGCCAAGUUGGUCUCGAACUUCUGACCGCAAAUGAUCCACCCACCUAGGCCUCCCAAAGUGCUGGGAUUACAGACAUGAGCCACUGCAGCUGGCCUAUUUCUCUUCUUACAGUACUCAAUAUUUCAACACGCAUACUUAAAAGUCCAAAGUUAAUCAGUAUUUCUAUUCCUACCAUAAACAACUUCCACAUAAUUUUUGGCUAAUUCUUAGUUUCAGCUUAUUUUGCCCCUCCAUAGCCAGCUCUCCCAGUUGGUUACACAAUCAUAUAAUUUUGGCCAGGUGUGGUGGCUCACGCUUGUAAUCCCAGCACUUUGGGAGGCCAAAGCAGACAGAUCGCCUGAGCCCAAGAGUUGGAGACCAGCUUGGGCAACAUAAUGACAAUUUCUACAAAUUAAAUUAGCUGGGUGUGGUGGUGUGCACCUGUGGUCCCAGCUACUCUGGGGUGCUGAGGCAGGAGGACUGCCUGAGUCCAGGAGGUUGAGGCUGCAGUGAGUUGUGACAGCGCUGCCACACUCCGGCCUAACAGAAUGAGAUCUCGUCUCAAAAAAAAAAAUGUAAUUUUUACAGUCAAUACUUAUUUACAUUUACUCCAAUUUGUUUUUUUAAAACCAACUUAUUGAUGCUUCAUCUCACUCCUGGUCUUUAUGCUUUAGCCUCUUUCUAGUUGAAAGAACUCUUCAGAGUUCUUUUUAGAGAAGACCUGAGCAGUAAACUCAGUUUUUGUUACAUGGAAUUAUUUUGAGACAGUCUUGCCCUGUUGCCCAGGCUGGAGUGCACUAGUGAGAUCUCAGCUCACUGCAAUCUCCGCCUCCCGGGUUCAAGUGAUUCUUGUGUCUCAGCCUCCGGAAUAGCUGGGACUACAGGCAUGUGUCACUGCGCCUGGCUAAUUUUUAUAUUUUUAGUAGAGAUGGGGUUUUGCCAUGUUGGCCAGGCUUGUCUUGAACUACUGACCACAGGUGAUCCACCCGCCUUGGCCUCACAGAGUUGGGAUUACAGGCAUGAGCCACCAUGCCCGGCCUACAUGGAAUUAUUUUGCCUUCAUGCUUAAAUGAUGAGUUAACUGGUAAAAAUAUAAGGUUUAAUGUUUUCCCUCAGUACUCUGUCUUAUGGCAUUUAUUACUACUGGUAAGUUUGCUCUCAGUGUUAUUUAUAAUGAACCUUUUCUGUAUCAGGUAAUUAAAAAAAAUUUUCUUCUUAGUUCUUGAUGUUCUGUUUCAAUCUGGUAUGUCUGGGACUUAAUUAGUUUUCGUUAGGAGCUCUGUGUACUCCUUUAAUCUGAGGACUUUUCUGGAAAUAUUUUGCCAUAAACUCAUGUUAAAUAUUGCUUCUCUUUCAUAUUUUAUAGUUUCUUCUGGGACUCCUAUUAGAAGUAACUUAGAUUUUUCUCUUCUAUCAUUGUCUCAAUUUUGCUUUCAUAUUUUGCAUCUUCUCUGUGGUAUAUUCUAGAUAAUUUUCUUAGAUCUUUCUUCCAACUUACCCUUUUCUUUAGCUGUUCACACCACUUCCACUGAAUUUUCAAUGAAAAUUGCUUUUUCAUAUCUAGAAUUUCAUUUGGGCUCUUUUCUAGAUCUUUUUCUUUUUUUCAUGAUAGUCUGUUCUUGCCUUAUAGAUUCUGUUCCUAUGAACAAUUUAAACACUGAUUUAGAGUCUUUUUCAGAGGACUAGGAAUCCCGACUUUUGCAUAUGUUGACUCAUGGCUAUUUAUGUCAUUUUUAGUUCUUAAAAGGUGAGCAUUUUAGGGAGCAAUUUUGCAUUUUUCUCUUCAAGAUCCAGUGUUUAUAUCACUUUCCAGACUGUACUUCUCUUGGCUGAGGAUUCUUGAUGGUGAUGGUAGUGUGCAUUCAGAUCUUAUAUCUAGCUUUGGGGCCCCCACUGGGGUUCUGAUUUCUAAAGGGUAGCUGAAAAUUGUACCAGUCCCCAUUUCCUAGAUAUUCUUCCAGAGUUGUCAUCUGGAAGAAUGGAAGGAAAUGCCAGUGAUUCACUGGUCUAACUCAUUUCUGUUUUAUUUCAACAAGCUUUUAAGGCACCUACAAAGUAAUAGCCCAAAAAAAGAACAGAAAUAUAUGGUCAGAAAUGUGGCUGGGUGCAGUGGCUCACACCUGUAAUCCCAGCACUUUGGGAGGCCAAAGUGGGCAGAUUGCUUGAGCCCAGGAGUUUGAGACCAGCCCACUUCUACUGAAAAUAGAAAAAAUUAGCUGGGCAUGGUGGUGUGCACCUAUAGCCCCAGUUACUUGGGAGGCUGAAGUGGGAGAUCACCUGAGCCCGGGAGGUUUACGCUGCAGUGAGCCACGACAGUACCACUGCACUUUAGCCUGGGUGACAGAUGAGAUCCUGCUUCCCCCGCUGCCUCCCUCAAAAAACAAAAAAAAAAGUGUUAAGUACACAAAGAUGUGAUGUAAAUGCUCAGGCUAGGAACAUGGAGAUAACACAAUGAGGAACCAAGCCUGAUAAGAAUUAGGCACAAAUGCCUGGCUUUGAAUGAUUAAUAUGUUUCUGAAAAGUUUUGUCCAAAUUGAUGUUUAUCCUAUGUCAAAUUACAUUUUAAAUUAUCUCCAAGGAAGCUCCCUACUUCAUUUGUCUCCUCAUUAAUAUUUAGUAAGUGCCUAGUCUGUGCCUAGCAGUGAAUUAGUUUGUUACAGGUAGAAGUAAACAGUUCUUGCUUUUCUGGGAAGCCCAGUGAGGGAGUAAAGACAAAGACAUACCUGGGAGAAAGGCAAUAUACAAUUCAGUGUUAAAUAAGUGAAAGACUAGUGAAAACAUCUUUUCCCUCAAAGAGAGCUGUGAAUACUCAGGCAAGUGGGCAGAAAUGUUGUCCCCUUCAACAUAUAUAUGGUUCUGUUAGUAUUUUAAUAUAAAAGUCCAUGGGUAUUGAUUUGACAAUACAGUAGGUAUGCUGUGGGGAGAGUGGUAAAACCAUACAAUGCAUCCAUGAAUUAGGAAAUAGAUAAGUCAGAGGAGCUGGGGAGAAUACCAGCUGGGAAAAAAGAACAGGCAGUUGCCAGAUGCCAGGCUGCAACUGAGGGUUACAAAAGGGUUAAAGCUCCACUGGUCAGAGUGAAAAUGGGAGGGUUCCUUGGGGUGUGCUCUCUACCCCUCCCCUUCAUCUGAAGAAUGGCAAAAAGGGCCUCAAGGAGACCACUUAGAACUUGGUGUGUGUUCUUUGCAGUUUGGGGACACAGAAGCUUAGUGUCCCACUUUUGCCUAAGAAAUAUAAAGGAUGAGAAACCAUGCAAGAGCCAUAGUUAGGGAACUGAAAAAGGGUCUAAGGGCAUGUUUCCAGGUGCUAGGCGGCCAGCAAAUGGUUGAGAGGGCCACCUGGAGAGGUGAAAUGCAUGUAUACCACGGAACAUUCAGGGAAGAGUCCUAAAGGACCAGCUGCAGUGGAGAUGCAUUUGCCCCUGUCAAGAGGAAGACUCCCAGCUGUGGGGCCAGGGGUCUCCAAAGGACCUAUACACGAAAAAGUGUCCACGUGACAAAGAGUUGUAUAAUAUUUAAAUGUAUCGCGUGGUCAAGAGAAACAAUUUCCUAUGUUCUUAGCACCCCACACCCUCAACCCCAGAGAAAUCAGUAGGGCAGGCCACACAAAACUGAGGGAAGAUGCUGAAUUUUAGCCCAGUGUGUUUUGUUUUGGAUUUUUCUUUUUUGAGACAGGGUCCUGCUCUGUCACCCCGUCUGAAGUGCAGUGGCGUGAUGACGGCUCACUGCAGCCUCAACUUCCCAGGCUCAAGUGAUCCACCUCAGCCUGCCAAGCAGCUGGGACCACAGGCACACACCACCACGCCCAGCUAACUUUUGGUUCAGCGUUCUUGAAAAUUACAUUGGGUUAUACUUUUUUUUUUUUUUUUUCUUGAGACAGGGUCUCACUUUGUUGCCCAGGUUGGAGUGCACUGGUGUGAUCACAGCUCACUGCAGCCUCGACCUCCCAGGCUCAGGUGAUCCUCCCACCUCAGCCUCCUGGGUAGCUAGGACUACAGGAACACAUCACCACACCAACUAAUUUUUGUAAUUUUUGUGGAGAUGGGGUUUUGCCAUGUUGCUCAGGCUGAUCUCCAACUCCUGGGCUCAAGCGAUCUGCAUGCUUUGGCUUCCCAAAGUGCUGGGAUUAUAGGUGUGAGCAACUGUACAUGGCCACACUGGGUUAUUCUUAUCAAUUGCUGCACUGGGAUGGCCAGAGGGAUUUUCAUGAGUAUCUAGAAUUUAUGGGACCUGCCCUAGAUUUCACCAAGGGGCUCUAGGUGGAAGCUAGAGGGGCAAGGGAGUGGUAGGCAGGCAAAGAGAACAAACCUGUUUUCUGAUUUCAUGCAAAAUAAUCAAGUAAUUUUCCAUGUUAUAUUACAUGGCCAGGGCUACCGUGAUGACAGCUGUCUGAGAAGGGUCAGGGCAUGGUACUCUCCAUCCUCCAAGGUAUUCAAAACACAGCCCUAAACUCCACCUUCUGGGAAGGGGACAUGCUAAAGCAGGUGAUGGCUAAGAGAACCGUCAGGGCAAGACCUGUGAGGGUAUGCCUUCCAGGUAGAAGUGCCACGUGGUUAUUAAAUAUCUCUGGAGCACCUGUUUUGCCAUGCUUGUGGGCAGGACCUCAGCAGGGCUGAAGAGAAACCAGAGUACAGCCCAAAUGAAAGGAGGAGGAAGCACAGAUCGCAGGAAGCAUCCAUCCCUUCAGCCUGGCUCUGGGAGUUCAUCUUUGUACACCUCUUCUCACAGCUAAAGAGUAUGGUUAGGCAAUGAGGAGUUAAGGAGGUGGUCCUACUGGACCAUGGAUGCCCAACGGUUCAGCCAGGCCUGCCAGGAGACUGAACAAAGAUUUCAGCCCAAGCCUUAGCUGACAUCAUGGGUGAUUGGCUGUAGGGUAGGUCCUCGGCUUGCUCUCCUGGACUAGGCCAGCCUGGCUACCUGUUCAUGUGGCUGGUUGAGGACUCCUAGGUUCACCAUUUCUUCAUCCCUUGCCUUGGCAAACAUAACUAGCAAAACCUGCUAAGCAAGGUCCUGGAAGGGGGUGUGUGCACAUACACACAAAAUCUUGAGUUUAACCACAGAAAACAAUUGUAUGGCUAAUUCAUUUAUAAAUCAAAUUACUACUCCCAUAACUUAAAGACACAGGUAUUUUCAUAUAUGGUAUUUGUUAAUAGUAGAGCAUACUGUUUUACAUGCUCAUUCUUGACACAAACUGUCAAUGCCACAAAAUCUACAUUAAAACCAAAAUGGCAAGGCUUGAAUAUUCUGAAAGGCUUACCUCAUUUCUAGAUUCACUGGUCUUUUCUGCCUCCCAAUCAGGUUUCUCUGCUAUUUUGUUCCCAUCAUCAUUAUUCUGCUGAAGUGAGUUCUCCUUCUGGGCUGACACCCUUUCUUCAUUUUCCUCAUGCUGGGAACUAUGAUCCACAGCUUCGUGCUUUUCUCUUAGCACCUCGUUCUCCUAUAAAAGUACCAAAUUUCAUCAAAUAAGCAAACAGUCUUUAAAACUGCAUUGUGCUUAUUGUUCAGGGACCAUGAAAACCCACAAGUCAAAAGCCAAGACUGGCAUUUCAUUAUUUCAGCAUCAAAGAAACAUUUAAUUCAGAAACAAAGGUCAGUGUUAUAUCCUGUCCUGAGACAGGCUGUUCUAAUCUGUGCAAUUUAAAUUAACAUGCACUUAUAAAGCCGCUGAAUUUAAAAUACUCAUGAAUUAGAUUAGAUUUGGAAAUUAAUGUUGCCAGCAGGCAGUUUUAAUUUUCUGUUGAAAAUUGAUCAAACAGCUAAGUUGGAAGCAAACACUGAUCAAAUAUGGAAACUAUUAUUAUAAACUAUUAAUUGUGGUUCUCUCUGGAAGGUUGGCAACAGGGUGGGAAAGAGUUUACUUCACUUUAUACAUGUCUAUAACCGUGAAUAUUUUACAACAAACACAUAUUGCUUUAUUUGUUUAUUUAUUGAGUCUCGCUCUGUCGCCCAGGCUGGAGUGCAGUGGCGAGAUCUCGGCUCACUGCAAGCUCCGCCUCCCGGGUUCACGCCAUUCUCCUGCCUCAGCCUCCUGAGUAUCUGGGACUACAGAAGCCUGCCACCACGCCCAGCUAUUUUUUUUUUUUUUUUUUUUUUUUUGGUAUUUUUAGUAGAGACGGGGUUUCACCGUGUUAGCCAGGAUGGUCUCAAUCUCCUGACCUCAUGAUCCAUCCGCCUCCGCCUCCACCUCCCAAAGUGCUGGGAUUACAGGCAUGAGCCACCACGCCCAGCCAUAUUCCUUUUAUAAUCAGGAAAAUGACAAAUGUAAAACAUCUCCACAGAUCUACACUUAUUUGCCCAGAUAAGUCCUUCUACCUUAAUUUGCUUUAUAAAUAAGGAGGCCUAAAUAAUUAAAAGGCUAGAGAAUUCUUCUAAACAUUCAAAUAUGGUUACCAUUUAGAGUGUACUGCAUAUUCAGAUAGUUUCAACUAUCAUGUUAAAAGCUCUCUGGAUGUAUUUUUGCCCCUAUAACAUUAAAGCUUGUCAAACUUUUUCACAAUUUCUGUUUCUUCCAGGAACAGGACACACUGGCACACCCUUUUCCCACCAAACCACAGAAAAAACAUUUUUAAAUGAAGGUUGAAGAAAUGGAAAUUUACAGAUGCCAGAAGAAAGGAGAAAAAUCAGGCAAGAUAAAAAAGGAGGCUGAUGUUCUGCUGGUCCACUUGGUUUACUGGCUCCUCUGUCUGACUGUGCCUUCCCUCUAGACACUGUAGAUGAUGUUUAGUCCUAGCUCAAUCAGUCUCUCCCUUUGCACAUUCCGUUACAACCCUGCUCAUGUGCUCAAGAUAUUGCUCCUGCUACUCUUCCCUCUCUUCUGCAUCAAUAGUUCUUUCUCAUCGACUGGACAAUUCCCAUCAGCCCACUAUCAUACAUGAAUACCCCCACCUUUAAAAACCCCUCCCUUGGUCCCACACUAGUCUUUAGAUCCCAUUCCAUUUUUCUGCUCCCCUUUAGAGCAAAAACCUCCAGAGUUAUCUGUACUCAGUGUAUUUUCUCUUCACCUAUCAGCAAACUUUGGAUUAGUUACCAUCUCCUCCUGGAAACAGCUUCUUCACCUGGCAUCCAAGUAUUUCUCUAUUCUCCUACCUCAUCAAGAACUUCUGCUUUGCUGAUUCAUCCCCUUGAUAUCUAAACAUAGCAAUGUCCCAAGGCUCAGUCCUCAGGUCCACCAAGCACUCUCCCACUUCACAGCCCUUCUACUUACAGCCCUUUCUGCCUAUAAGCUCUCUCAACCCUGUUAUCCUCCUGACCCCAGGUCUCUUCAAAUAUUUACCAUCUCAGUUUUCUUUCUUAAUCUCUGUAUAUAAAAAACUACAUCAAAAUCUUUUUCCCUUAUCUUGCUUUAUUUUUUCUCCAUAGCAUUUAGCACCAGCUGAUAUACUGCCAUGUUUAUUUGUUUGCUGUUUGUCCUACUAGAAUGCUAGUUUUUUGAAGGCAAGGGCUCUGUCUGCCUGGUUCCUGCUGUUGGCCACUUCCUAUCCCAGAUUCUGGCACAUAACAGACCCUUACUACAUAUUUGUUGAAUAGCUGAACUCUUAGACACAAUAUCCUAAGACUUUGAUAGAGAUCUUACUUCUGAUAGAUUGUUCUUUCCUGCAACAAUACUGAUUCCUAUAUAAAUCUGGGGAAGGAAGAAAAGGUGACUGAUGACUUUUUACCUCUCAGCUUUUGCCAAGGUAAGGUUUUUUGUGGUUGUUAAAUCUGAAUAUAAUUAAAUUAAAAACUUUGGAUACCCGAGGCAGCUAACUUUGUUCAAAAACUUGCUGGUGGUAGAGAGAGAAACUUCUAAUCUCGAAAUCAAAUGAUCUAUUUUAGAACCAUGAAGCAAAGUCCCCUAAAUCUGUAAUAUAUGCAUUAAUACAACACACAUGGACACACACAAACAUGCAAACACAAGAACGUCACCUAUAUUACAUAAAUAAUAACAGGGAAACAAGUGUUUGAUGUAGAUCAAGCCCAUAGAGGAACUGAUCAAGCAAACUUUAGUCUGGGAAGGAUUUUUUUGUGGGGGAAACUUUUUGAGUGUAAUGAAUUGGUAACAAAGGUAUGUAAGACGUCUUGUCUGAAAACUCAGGAAGAGGACUGGAGGCAGAGAAAUUCUAUAUGAUCAAAAUUCACACUACAGGAAGCCAAAAUUAGGUAUAACAUAAUAAUGGAUCAUAACUCAUUGAAUAAAAUGAGUUGAAUAAAAGAAUCAAUGAGUGCACUCAAAUAUAAACAAAUAAAUGAAGGAAAAAGGAAAUCUCUUAUAGUAGAAUACAAAUAAUAAAUAUAAAAGGAGAAUGAUGAAUUAGAAAACCAUCAAUGGAUGCUUAAUUUAAGGAGUGAAAAUUUUAUGAGAAAUAAGAUACUUAAAUAGUCUCAAAGUAUCGCUCUGCAGAUUACUUGUUAAUUACAAAAAGAAAAAUAAUAACACUACAGGAGAAAUCUGGCAGACACCACCUAAAUCAAAUGGUCAACUCUAUCAUCAAAAUACGGAGUUAAACCAACAUCGUGGUCUCCUGAUAUGGAGGACACAAUACCAUUUCUGUGGUUUUCUCACCAAAAAUUCAUAAUCUCAAUCUAAUCAUUGAGGAAACAUCAGAUAAAUCAACAUUGGGGGUCAUUUUUACAAACUAACUGAUUGAUGCCCUUCAACAAUCUAAAGGUGAAGAAACACAGAGAGGAGUGUUUCCACAUUACAGGUGACUAAAGAGACUCGGCAAAUACAUACUGACAGAUUCUGAAAACGGACUGUAGAUUAGAUAGUAGCCUUACAUUCAGAUUAAAUGUCCUGAUUUGAUAACUGGGUAUAGAAAAGAAAAUCACUGUUCUUAGGAAAUAUACACUAAUAAGUAUCUGGGUGAUGAGGGAUGCAAUGGUUUCAAUUCACAUAUGUAUACAGAGAGACAUCGUUAUUAAUAUAGCUAAAUGAGGCAAGACAUAAAUAGGUAAAUCUGGGUAAAGGGUACAUAUAUGCCAUUUUUUAAAAGUUUGAAAUUAUAUUUAGCUAAAAGAUUCACCUAAAAAUGCCUACAUAGCAAAAUCACUUUGGCUAAGGCAACAGCAAAGGGUUAUCCCAGAAUAAUUCUCCCAUUAAAUUUUCUGUUUAUUUGUAUUUUGCCCCCAAGUGUAUAGACAUAAAAACUUUAGUAUUUUCAACUCUUCUAACAUUUAAAUUUCUUAUUUCAUUUUCUUGUCUAUCUGCUUUGGCUAUGCUUCCCAAAUAAUGCUAAAUAAUAAUGGUGAUACCUGAUAUUCUUGCUGAUGAAUUUAAUGAGAAUGCUUCACCAAUAAGGAUGACUUGUAUUUGAGAUACAGUCAGUCAUUUUAAAUUGAGUAUCAAAUACAACACUAGUACUGGGAAUACGAUAGUAAAAAAUACAAUCAGACCCUGCCCCCUUCACAUCUUACAUUCUAUUUUUGUUUUUUUGUAGAGAUGGGGUCUUGCUAUGUUGCCCAGGCUAGUCAAACAAUUCUUCCUCCUUGGCCUCCCAAAACACUGGGAUUAUAGGUGUGGGUCAUCACUCCUGGCCAGAUCUCACAUUCUAAAGAGAGAGGGAACCAAAAAUACAAGUGAACUAAUGAAAUAAAUGCAAGUUAUGGUAAGUGAAAGAGCUAGCUAGCUAUAUGAAAAAAGGAGACAAAGGAAUUCAAGGCAUAGAUAAUAUCCAAACAGUAUACUCAUUUGCCUCUUACCACAGUUUAUUUAACUGGCUUUUUUUUUUUUUUCUUUUCAGAAGGAGUUUUGAUCUUGUUGCCCAGGCUGGAGUGCAAUGGCGCGAUCUCAGCUCACUGCAACCUCCACCUGCAGGGUUCCAGCGAUUCUCCUGCCUCAGCCUCCCAAGUAGCUGGGAUUACAGAGACGGGGUCUCGCCAUGUUGCCCAGGCUGGUCUUGAACUUCUGAGCUCAAGCAAUCCUCCCACCUCAGCCUCCCAAAGGGCUGGGAUUACAGGCUGAGCCACUGCGCCUGGCGACUCUCAAGAAUCUGGAUGGCAGACUGAAUUCCACAGACUGAGGGAAGAAAAAAACUUUAACCUGCACAGACUUAGGUAUUGAAUAAGUAUCUUCUUGGAUGGUCCUUCCUGUAUUCAUUCAACUUGUCUUUCUUGAGAGCCUAUUAUGAAGCACGUAUAAUAAACACAACAAGCAUCAUAAGUGAUAAAUGAGAGGAAGCAUUUCCCCCAGGGCUAGUGGGAUGCAUGUGGAGAUGUGCAGCCCAGGUCCCCUUCAAAGGAGGACUUGUGGCUAUUCCCACAUACCUGUGGGCAGCCAGCCUCCAGCAGCCAAAAGUCGCCUCCCCUAAGGUCACACCUGUCCCAGUGUGCCCACAUCCCAUGACCCGUCACCCGUCAAGAUGGCCACAAGGCCAUCUUGGCCCAAUGUGGAACAAGUCUGAUGCAUCCAUGUCAGCCCAGGUGCUGGGUUCUGCCAGCCUGCAUCACAGUUCGACUUCUGCUUCUGUCUAAUCCUGCCUGUCUCCAGUUAUUGAUCCCAAUGGCUCCCCCUAAUAAACCUCCUUCACACUAAA